AUGUAUUCUGCUGCUGUAGCACAACCCCCUUUUGUUGGAUAUUAUGUACUAUUAAUUAACCGAUGCAAGUCCAAGAAGGAUUGGCCGGUGCUGCCGACUGGCGUCAAGUUUGAUCCCAUGGAUCAGGAGCUGAUCAAGCACCUUGAGGCCAAACGCAAUUCCAGGGCAUUCAAAAGGGGCACGUGGACGCGUCGCAAGAUACAUUCUGAGUGCGGCAUGCACGCGAUGUGGCACAAGACCGGCAAUACCUUGCCGGUGAUGGUUAAUGGCUGGCAGACGGGUGACAAAAAGGUUCCGGUGCUGCACACCAACAAGAACUUCGACCAGCAGAGGACCAACUGGGUGAUGCACCAUUACCACCUCGGGGACCUCGAGCAAGAGAAGGAGCGGGAGCUGGUUCUCUGCUAG
rnacentral:rRNA from 1 species